rnacentral:lncRNA from 1 species
AUCAGUGCACGGUGCCACCAUCCUCCCAGGCCCUCCAGCCAGAACCCCAGGAGCUGAAACCCUUGACUCCUCUUUCUCUCACCCCUAAAUCCAGUUCAAGAAGGCAGGAUUUCGUCAUGUUGCCCAGGCUGGCCUCAAACUCCUGGACUCAAGUGAUCUGCCCAUCUUGGCCUCGUAAAGUGCUGGGAUUAUGGGUGUGAGCCACCAUUCCUGGCCUUAUUUUGUGUCCAGCUUCUCUCACUCAGCACCAUGUUUCCAAGGCUCACCUACAUUACAGCCUGGAUCCGAGCUUCAUUCCGUUUUAUGGCUGCGUAGUAUUCCACUGCAUGGGUGGACCAUGUUUUCUUUAUCCAGUCAUCGGUAAUGGACAUGUGGGCUGUUGCACAGACGGGUCCUUUUUAUUUUCUCCCUAGCUUUACUGAGGCAUCAUUGACAAACAGAAAUUACAUAUAUUUAAGGUUA